rnacentral:misc_RNA from 1 species
AAGUCGUAAUAAGGUCUCAAUGUAUUUAUAAAAGAAAAGAUUUGGGUCAAAUUAAUUUGAUCCGCGCAUUUGCUUUUAUAUUUCUUAUAUCAACACUCUUUUUAUUACUUUGAAACCUGUUUGUCUGAAAUAAAAUAUUAUUCUUUGAAUAGCUUUCAACAACGGAUUUCUUGGUUCCC